CUUCAGCACCGCACCAUUCAACCAAUCAAAAUGCACUACCAACACAACACUCAACCACUUCUACACUCAAAACCACGGAACCAUCCCUCUUCCUUUUCAUUCCUACACCGCAAACCACUGCACUUCAUUUUCAUCGUGAGGCAUCCGAGAGCAAGGGAGGGAACGCGAGUUGAAAUCUUCUGUCCGUUUUGUUCUGACCGUGAGCUGGAAGAAAGGCAGAGAGAAACCGUGAGCAAAACUUCAACCAUUCUGCAACCAACUUCACGGCUGCAACACCACCAGCUUCCACCUCCACCAGUUGAAGCCGCUACACCAAACCAGAACCAGCAAACCUGUCGCGUGCGUGAGAGCCGAGAGGGAGCAGAAAUUUUUCAGAUUUUCGUGUGUGGUCUUAGCUUGCUUUGAGGGUUUUCCGAGGAAGCGGAAUUCGAUCCCCAAUUUGAUAUCUGAACUCCACUCUUGGAAUGGACAGGGAAUGAAACUCGGAGGAAACCCUUUUGAUGUACUUUUGUAAUAGGGUUUCCAAUGGAAGUGACUAGACUUUCUGGCUGUUGUAUAUUUUGGAAAAUUGAUGUAUCUUUUGGGAUUUUGA